UACGGAGGAUGCAAGCGUUAUCCGGAAUCAUUGGGCGUAAAGGGUCCUGAGGUGGUUUGCUAAGUCUACUGUGAAAGAUCAGGGCUCGACCCUGAAGAUGCGGUGGAAACUGGCAGGCUAGAAUACGGUAGGGGCAGGGGGAAUUCCCGGUGUAGCGGUGAAAUGCAUAGAUAUCGGGAAGAACACCAAAGGCGAAGGCACCCUGCUGGGCCGAUAUUGACACUGACAGACGAAAGCUAGGGGAGCGAAUGGG
rnacentral:rRNA from 1 species